AAUCAUUAGUCUUUUAAUUUGAGACUGGUAUGAAUGGUUUGACUUAUUAAUUUUGUCUCAUUUUAAUAUUUUAAACUUUAUGUUUUAGUAAAAAAGCUAAAAUUUUUUUUAAAGACGAGAAGACCCUAUCAAGCUUUAUAAUUAAUUUUUAUUAUCAAAAUAAAAUUAAGAUUAUUUUACUGGGGCAGUAAAUGAAAAAAAUUUCAUUUUAUUAUUUUGAUAGAUAAAUCUUGUUAAAUCAAAAAUUUUUUAAAUAAUAAUAAGUUACUGUAGGGAUAACAGCAUAAUUUUUUUAUAGAGAUCUUAUCGUCAAAAAAGUUUGUGACCUCGAUGUUGGAUUAAGAGUCCUAAUUUACGCAAUAGUUAAUAAAGG
rnacentral:rRNA from 1 species